CAAUAAUAAAAUAUUUUAUAACAGUACUCUGUGUACACAAAAUCUUAUUCUACGGUGCGACCUCCUCUGUCGCUCCUUCGAAUUCUAAUUUCACCUGACAUUCUUCGGGUAACCCUUCAACGUCAACUUCUGAUUCUGGUGCAUUCAACAUAUUUAAUGUAACUUCUGCAGAUUUCCCCAUCAUUCCUUGGUUACCUGUCGCCUGCUGCUGUUUUUGUGAUUGUACCUGUUGUUGCUGAGCCCCGCCACCUCCGCUUUGCUGAACAGUCUGUUGUUGAGAUAUAACUUGCUGUUGUCUUAUGGUUCCUCACCCCCGCGUUGCAGCCGACAUCCAUGCCUACGUAUUUCCGCUCGGUCGGCUCCGCGUGCCAUACGCUCUGCGGAAGUUGUUGCAGCCGUUCCUCCACCAAGUGAAAUUGGUAAUAAUUCAUGAAGUUUCCGUGCCUGCACGCGCCCGGAUCCGUUUCAUUUUUCACCCGGUUAUUCGCUUCCGCUCCGCCGCUAAUUGCAACUCCUAUUUCCUCUUCUAAUUCCUUCUCAGACAUCCUUUUUUUCGCUUCGUUCUAAUUGCCAUUAAACGACAACGACCGGUACAAUUGUGUUAAUUAUUCCUUUGAUACAUAUCAUUCCUCCGGUCCGGCGGAUCGCUCCGUCGCACUCUAUCUAUCCUAGGUAUGCUUACGGAUGAAAAGAUGAAACGACGCGAAAUCUACUGGCUACCUGCU
rnacentral:misc_RNA from 1 species